rnacentral:rRNA from 1 species
AUGGCUGAGUACGACGACAUUGUCAUCAGGAUGUUUGAUAGAGAGGAAGAGGGUUUCGAGUUCUGUAACAAGUAUGCUCUUGAGAAAGGCUUUAGUGUGAGGAAAGGAUAUGUUGAGUGGGAUGAAGCGAACGUGAAGAUAAUUCUGAGG